rnacentral:rRNA from 1 species
AUUGAACGCUGGCGGCAGGCCUAACACAUGCAAGUCGAGCGGAGGAAGGGUGCUUGCUCCUGGAUUCAGCGGCGGACGGGUGGGCAAGGCCUAGGAAUAUCCCUAGCAGCGGGGGAUAACGUCCGGAAACGGGCGCAAUUACCCUAAUAGCGCUGAGGGAGUACGGGGGGGAGCAGCGGACCUUACGAUAUUGGAUGAGUCAAGGUCCCGAUGUCGGAUUAGCUAGGUGGAGGGGUAAAGGCCCACCAAGGCGACGAUCCGUAGCUGGUCUGAGAGGAUGAUCAGUCACACUGGAACUGAGACACGGUCCAGACUCCUACGGGAGGCAGCAGUGGGGAAUAUUGGACAAUGGGCGAAAGCCUGAUCCAGCCAUGCCGCGUGGGUGAAGAAGGUCUUCGGGUUGUAAAGCACUUUUAGUUGGGAAGAAAAGCAGUAGGUUAAUACCUCGCUGUUCUGACGGUACCAAAAGAAUAAGCACCGGCUAACUUCGUG